rnacentral:rRNA from 1 species
GUACACAAAAAUGCACAUAUUGUGAGCUCGAUGAGUAGGGCGGGACACGUGGUAUCCUGUCUGAAUAUGGGGGGACCAUCCUCCAAGGCUAAAUACUCCUGACUGACCGAUAGUGAACCAGUACCGUGAGGGAAAGGCGAAAAGAACCCCGGCGAGGGGAGUGAAAAAGAACCUGAAACCGUGUACGUACAAGCAGUGGGAGCCUCUUUUAUGGGGUGACUGCGUACCUUUUGUAUAAUGGGUCAGCGACUUAUAUUCUGUAGCAAGGUUAACCGAAUAGGGGAGCCGAAGGGAAACCGAGUCUUAACUGGGCGUUAAGUUGCAGGGUAUAGACCCGAAACCCGGUGAUCUAGCCAUGGGCAGGUUGAAGGUUGGGUAACACUAACUGGAGGACCGAACCGACUAAUGUUGAAAAAUUAGCGGAUGACUUGUGGCUGGGGGUGAAAGGCCAAUCAAACCGGGAGAUAGCUGGUUCUCCCCGAAAGCUAUUUAGGUAGCGCCUCGUGAAUUCAUCUCCGGGGGUAGAGCACUGUUUCGGCAAGGGGGUCAUCCCGACUUACCAACCCGAUGCAAACUGCGAAUACCGGAGAAUGUUAUCACGGGAGACACACGGCGGGUGCUAACGUCCGUCGUGAAGAGGGAAACAACCCAGACCGCCAGCUAAGGUCCCAAAGUCAUGGUUAAGUGGGAAACGAUGUGGGAAGGCCCAGACAGCCAGGAUGUUGGCUUAGAAGCAGCCAUCAUUUAAAGAAAGCGUAAUAGCUCACUGGUCGAGUCGGCCUGCGCGGAAGAUGUAACGGGGCUAAACCAUGCACCGAAGCUGCGGCAGCGACGCUUAUGCGUUGUUGGGUAGGGGAGCGUUCUGUAAGCCUGUGAAGGUGUGCUGUGAGGCAUGCUGGAGGUAUCAGAAGUGCGAAUGCUGACAUAAGUAACGAUAAAGCGGGUGAAAAGCCCGCUCGCCGGAAGACCAAGGGUUCCUGUCCAACGUUAAUCGGGGCAGGGUGAGUCGACCCCUAAGGCGAGGCCGAAAGGCGUAGUCGAUGGGAAACAGGUUAAUAUUCCUGUACUUGGUGUUACUGCGAAGGGGGGACGGAGAAGGCUAUGUUGGCCGGGCGACGGUUGUCCCGGUUUAAGCGUGUAGGCUGGUUUUCCAGGCAAAUCCGGAAAACCAAGGCUGAGGCGUGAUGACGAGGCACUACGGUGCUGAAGCGACAAAUGCCCUGCUUCCAGGAAAAGCCUCUAAGCAUCAGGUAACAUCAAAUCGUACCCCAAACCGACACAGGUGGUCAGGUAGAGAAUACCAAGGCGCUUGAGAGAACUCGGGUGAAGGAACUAGGCAAAAUGGUGCCGUAACUUCGGGAGAAGGCACGCUGAUAUGUAGGUGAAGCGACUUGCUCGUGGAGCUGAAAUCAGUCGAAGAUACCAGCUGGCUGCAACUGUUUAUUAAAAACACAGCACUGUGCAAACACGAAAGUGGACGUAUACGGUGUGACGCCUGCCCGGUGCCGGAAG